ensembl:lncRNA
CGGGGUAUGGGGUACAUUCCUCUAGCUCAUUACACCCUGAAACUGUGCUUGGUUUUUUUCCAUCCCACCCUAUGACCUUUGGUCCAACUUAGAUGCUGCUGUAGAACCUGCCAUGUGGAGAAGGAGUGAAAAGUGGCUGUUUCUGUGGUGUGUGUGCAUGUGUGCGCACAAGCACAAGGCAAGGAGGUGUCAGGGAGGCCUCAGGAAGGAAGCUUUCAAGGGGCCAAAAUGGCCUAUCCCUUCCUUUUUCUUUCUAGGCCCUUCGUUUUUCCCUUUUCCCAAAGUUCUAAAAAUAAAGGCCCAGCUUUGUCAAGACUGAGUGAGGUUGGUCGGAAAGAAAAGGAAGAGUUUGUGUGCCGGGCAAGGCCUGGAGCCAAGAGGGGGCUAAAUGAGUCACCCAAGAAGGCGGACAAGUUCUGAUGGAAUGUUGCUUGAUUUUUCCUGCCCCCACCGCUGGCCUCUGGUUUUGGGGGGCAGUGAGGUUCUUUCCCUUCUCUCCUCUGCAGCGGGAGGCCAACUGUGGGAGCAGUCACUGAAAAUUGAGUUUGAGGAGGCCCCGCUGAUAGAACUCUAGCCUAUUUGUUUUAGUUCCGUUUGUUUGAGGCUGCCUGUGGCUAGCCCUGUGUCUCUAGCAAAUGUUCUCAAAAGUUUCCUAAGGGUUGAGAAAGAUAAUCUUAACAAAAGGACACAAUGACAGGGGUGUGGUGCCCUGGGUCCCAGCCCAGCUUCUGACACUUGAUGCAUUUAGGUCUUCGGAUGACCCCCUUUCCCUCCGUAACCUGAUCAGCUUCUGUGCAUGGCAGUACCUGUCCUGCGUUAUGAGGCUUUGUGAAGACAGAAUGAGCUUAUGCAUGGGCAGGAAGGGGCAUAGAAAAGUUAAAAAUUAAAUCUGGACACAAGGUGGAGAUGAUUAUGGUUUUAUUGUGUUGGGUUGAAGGAAAAGGAAGGAGGUGAGAUGGUGGUUGAGGUCUCCAGCAAGGAUUUAUAUGUGCUCUUAGGUUGUUCAUAUUUGAACAAAGCCUAGCUGAAGAGUAGGACUGUGGCUCAAGAGCUGGAAUAAGCGCCUUUGACUUGGCUUUGGACAGUCAGCUGCGUUAGCUAUGCCUCACUGCCCAAAGAGAAAAGCAGCUCAGGGCAGGCGACACAAGGAAUUGAGAGGCAUCUUGCAGAGCCCAUGAAUUAAAGUAUCCGGUGUCUCUGGCCUUCUCCAGCUUACCUAGUGGUUGAUGUUAGAUGCCCUGAAAGUAUCCGGUUAACUCAGCCUCUCUGAAUCAUGGCUGAUUCUGGGAGGGGGCUGAGGUUGCUUUCCCAGGGACCUUGGGCGGAAAGGGGAGACAAACUGGGACCCACCUGGAGUGAAGGGAUCCUCUAGGUGGACAGGGCAAGGAAGUCUCUAACCCACCCACCCUGACCAUGUGGCCAUGUGAUACUCCUUUACGUUCGCGUGUUAUUUUGAGGAAGACUUGGAGUUCCUGUGGUGGCUCAGUGGGUUAAGAGCCCGCUAGUAUCCAUGAGGAUGUGGGUUCAAUCCCUGGCCUCAAUCCGUGUGUGAAGGAUCUGGUGUUAUGGUGAGCUGUGGUAUAGGUCAAGGAUGUGGCUUGCAUCUGGCAUUGCUGUGGCUGUGUCAUAGGCCAGCAGCUGCAGCUCCACUUUGACCCCUAGUCUGAGAACUUCCAUGUGCCAUGGGUGCAGCCCUAAAAAAUAAGAAAUAAUAAAAGAAAAAUGAUGAGGAGACUUGAGCCUUGGAGGAGCUCAAGGUCUUGCCCUACGUGGGGCCAUGUUGCCAUGAUAACCUUGGAUUAGAACUGCAAGUCCAGGGAACUUUCCAGGCUCCCUGGAGUACCUGGCUCAAAAGGAAAGACAUUCUUUUUGAACUUUAUUGAGGUAUAAUUUCUGUACAAUAAGCUAAACCUAGUUAAAGGUUGAUCGGUUUGAAAAAUGAAUGUUCCUGUGGAAUCACCAUGGUAAGGCAGCACGUGUCCAUCGCUCCUGUGAGUUUCCUGUGCCCCCCCCAACCGCUGCCCCAUGCAGUCGGUUCCUUCUCCACCCCCACCCCUGGGCAGCCACCCAUCUGCUUUGUGUCACUAGAGAUCAGCUCGCAUUUCUGAGACUUGCAUCGAGGCAGAAUCCUACAACGCAUACUCCUAUGCCUGCCUGGCUUCUUUCCUAAUAUUUUUGAGACUCAUCCGUGUUGCGUGGAACAGUACUUUGUCUUCUUUUCCUGCUGAGUAGAUCUCGAUGUAUUCGGAUGUGCUAGUACCGUUAAUUAUAACUCCUUGUGCACCACGUCUGUGAAAAUUCCCUGGUAUUUCCUGAUACUACCCGAGAUUCUUAGACCCCUUGUGUGGUUACAAAGCAGAUUUAUAUACAUAAUCACUAUGAAGUUUCAGAUAUUGAUCAUGUCAACAGGUUCAGAGAUUAAGUGCCCCAGAGAGUGAAGAGCAUCCUGCCUCAUGGCAGUUUUGUGGUUUUUGUUACUACCCCACCCUCAGCCGCCUCAAAUUCUAACUGCUUGUCAUGGAGUGGACAAGACUGCUCAGAACUUCAGGCUUUGCUUUUCAGAGAGGCAAGAAGCUUAGGGAAUCCUGGGUCUCCUGCCAGCUCUGCUGCUGCAGAUGACAGUGGUGGCGCAGCCCAGCGCCACCCCCAUCCUAGCAGGCAUCUGGUAUGUUUGUGUGAGGGGGUGUUCCUCACUUUUGGGCAGCCAGGAACCAAAGAGACUGAGCCACCCUCUGCCUGACACACAGAUGUCUAACUCCUGGCAGCCGUUGGGACGGCAUGGGUUUGAGUCCCAGCUCUGCCUCUUCCCAGCUGGUGAUCUUGGGCAAGUUGCUGAUUACCCUAAGCCUCACUUCUCCUGUUUGUACCACGCUGACAAUGUCAAC